rnacentral:rRNA from 1 species
UACGGAGGGUGCAAGCGUUAUUCGGAAUCACUGGGCGUAAAGGGUGAGUAGGUGGUUAUGAAAGUCUUAUGUGAAAUAUUACGGCUUAACCGUGAACGUGCAUAAGAAACUUCAUAGCUUGAAUUGCAGAGAGGAUGAUGGAAUUCCUAGUGUAGGGGUGAAAUCCGUAGAUAUUAGGAAGAACACCAGAGGCGAAGGCGGUCAUCUGGCUGACAAUUGACACUUAAUCACGAAAGCGUGGGGAU